UCAUUCCAAAGCCUGAACCUCAAAUCCAAAACUUCGUCUCUUCUCAUGGAUUUGCACCGCCUCCAUGAAUAAUUCCUCUUCCUCACUAUCUCUGCCUCUUUCUCUUUGAGCAUAUAAAGAGAAAAGGGAACCUCAAAUUUCAAUCUUCACCAUCGUCGAUGGUGGGUCACAUGACCCACUAUUUUUUUUUCAUAUGUAUUUAAAUCAAAACAGAGUCCCACAGCAAUUGAAAUUCUAAUUGUUUUGCCGAUUACAAACAACAAUUGAACAGAGUUACAAAGCUCCAUUUCAAGCAACAAUUGAACAGAAUCCCAUUAGUCCCUUUUGAGUCCCAUUACAAGUAGCAAUUGAACGGUGUCCUUCCUUCCGCCAUCCCCUUGCUCCGUUGUGCGGGAGAUUUAGUCGACACGAGAGACAGGGAGAGAUUUUGCGGGUGUUGCUGUUGCCAAUUCAGCCGUCCGCCUCCUGUCGUCGCCAUAGCCAUCUGCUUCUGGAGCCUGCAGGUGCUGGAUUCACAGACAUUGAGGAUGUUGUUCCUUUCGUUAAAUGGCUGGAUGAUGAGCUCUCCACCUGGUUGAUGAAAGGGCAGUGCUAAAGCAUUUUGAUUGGCCUGAGAAGAGGGCAGAUGCAUUAAGAGAAGCUGCAUUUGCAUAUUGUGUGUCUG